UUUUUUUCCGAAACAAUCCAAUAAUCCCGUGAUUCCCUCCUCUACUGACUCGUCUCAGUCUCCCACUCACUCACUCAAACAACCCACACUAUAUUCCUUCUUCCUCCCCAUCAAGUAUCAACACUCCUUUCCAAAAUUAAUCCUCUUUCUUCACAAAUCAACCAAAUUUCAAUCACAAUGCCGAUUUACCUAGUUGACAACAACGGCGCACCCAUCAACAUCCAAUCCCCAAACCCCAAUCUCCCAACACCUCUCAACAUAACCCUCGUUGACCACUACCUCCCAUACGACACCCACAACACCUACGAAAUCACAAUCGAUUCAUCUCACACAAUCCAAACCCUCUUAACCUCAUCCCCUUCUCAAGUCGAUUCCUGGCUCCUCCAAACCCAAUCUCAAUCCCCUCUCCUCGUCGGUCUCGACAUCGAAUGGCGUCCAAACUCCCAACGCGGCCAAUCAAACCCCGCCGCCACUCUCCAACUCUGUACCAACAACCGCUGCCUCGUUUUCCAGAUCAUCCAUUCCCCUUCCAUUCCUACCUCCCUGUUAACGUUCCUUGCUAACCCUAACAACAGAUUCGUUGGUGUUGGAAUUGAAGCUGAUGUUGAGAAGCUUAUUGAAGAUUAUGAUAUGAGUGUGAGGAAUUUUGUUGAUUUGAGGAACCUUGCUGCUGAGGUUCUUGAUGAUAGAGAUUUGUUGAGAAGUGGGAUUAAAAGUUUGGGUGAACGUGUUCUUGGGAAAAUUAUUGAGAAACCGCAGAGGAUUACGAGAAGUAGAUGGGAUAAUCCUUGGCUUAAUGCUGAUCAAGUUAAGUAUGCUACUGUUGAUGCUUAUGUUUCGUUUGAGAUUGGUCGUCGUCUUUAUUCUAAUCAGGUUAUUGAAUGAACAAUCAUCUUAUUUUUGAGCUUAUGCCAAAUGACUUAUGGAAAUAAAUAAUUUUUUACUUAUUAUUAUAAGUUUUUCAUGGUAAUUUAUGAUUAAAGCAACUUAUAACAUACAAUUUUUGUAAAUGAAAACUUAUGAAAUAGCACAAACAUUUAUUUAUUUGCAUAAAAUUAUUUUCAUAAGCUCAAAAAUAAGUCAAAUUCGAUCUUAAUGUGUUUGGUGUCUAUUUAUCUUUGACAUUUGUUAGUAGUGUUGCUAGUUUUCAGUUAGUAGUGUUGUUAGGUUUCAGGUUAAACAAUUGAGACUUUUUUAAGUCUGUGAAUGUGAUGAUGAUUAUGAUGGGUAUUCUGGAUUAACUAAAGUAGUUUCAAUUUCAGGGGAUUAUCAUUUGUUCCACAUUAUCAAGAUAAUGUUUCUCUAUAUCUAAUCAAAUAAUGAGUAAUUAGAAUUAUUCAGCCAUUUAUCUAUAGUAUUACUGUAUUUCUUAUUUCACUGUUUACAAAACACAUUAUUUCAAGAUUAUGGUGGGUGCCACACUUGAUUCCGAAUGUGGUCAACACAAAAUUAUUGAGGGUAACUGUGCUAAUUACUAGUAUUAACUUGAAUAUGUCCAUGGAUGCCAUGAUUUUUGUUAUAUAAAGGAGUCUUAUAAAGAGUUGAAACAUCUCAAUUUUUUUUUUUCUUUUUCACAUCAGCAUUUUAAUUAUGUUGACAUCCUAAUGUACUAUAAUUCACUACCAUCCAUCUAAAAGUAUUUUAUUAAUAUUAAAAAGAAAAGAAAGAGUAGGGGACAUAAAUCAAACCCACCAAAAUAUGAUUAACAAAAGCAACAAUUAGGAAAACCUGAUUUUCAUUUUAUUUUUAAAAUCAUAGGUAUUCUUUGCGUGCAAUUAUGGAGAUUAAUUUCCUCGAGGUAAUUGAAAUUCAUUUGAUGGGUUGAUAUGUCCCAACAAAUAUUUUUUCGCAGAUGGCCAGAAUCGAAUCCAUGAUCAAAUGGUUAAUGGCUCAAAUACCUACCACUUGUGCCACACUAUGUUGGUUUGACAAACCUACUAUGUCUCUAAAGAAAUCUUCUAGACAAUAAUUAAGUAAUUGAUCUAGACAAUAAUUAAGUAAUUGAUCCCUCCAGAGUAAUCCCUAAAUAAAAAAUCCAAUGGCUACUCUAUCAAAACAAGUGUUUCCUUUGUAAAUUGUAAUAUUGAAAGUAUAAAGUGGAAGUUUCUAAUGGAUUUGGUAGAUACAAGUUUGUAAAAAAUCUAUGCAAGUAUUUUGUACAAUGAGAAGCUAAUGGAUUUGGUAGAUUGUUUGAGGUAUUGGCUUACAAGUCUUUAACGUUACCGAGAGUUCCUCUUUUAUAGGAGAUUCAAAUAUAGACGUUUAUGAAUACUUAAUCGUACACAAUCUGACUGUUGAAAGUUAACUAGCUACUUACUUUCUUUACUCUAUCUAUUCAUCCUAUUUUGAUGAGAACUUCGUAAUCCUUUUUCGUAGGAGGAAGUAUUCGUUGAGCUUUCUUGGGAAUGACAUUUCUUCAACAUUGUUGAUCGUGAGCAUGCUUCCUGUAACUGUUCGGGCACCUCCUCUUAUAUAGUAGGCGGUCCGACACUGUAUCUCACGAUCUUCUCUAUCACUCUCUAUGAUAGAGUUUUUGUCUUCUGUGAAAAUUGAAGUGCAUACCCACUACCCAUUGACAUCCCUAGCAGUAGCACCCAUCCUUCAUUAAAAAAAUAAAAUAAAAUUGAUAGCACCCAUCAUCCUUAACAAAGAUUAGUAUAAAAAAAAGUAGUACUAAACUUGUUUUUAAGUCAUUGUCAACAAGAAAAAUAAAAACCAAAAUCAAUUACCACCGACGGUCAACAAUAAAAAUCAAUGAGUACUACUCAACUUUCGAUUUAGUAUUGAGAAUAAUAUGUCUAAAUCUUCUCAGCCGCCUCCUGCUUCUCUAAACCCUAAUUUAUUAUUUUCUUCAUCCACCAAAGAAGGGUGGUUUUUGGGUCAAUUUUUGACCCAAAAUCACCCCUCUAAGUUGUUUUUUAUUUUCUUUUCAUUUAAAUAAGUGGUUUUCACAUAUUUAUUUGUUUUGAUUUGCCUUCUACAAUGUAUUUUGUUGUCCGUCUUUGUGCGGUGUAUUGUUUUGUUCCGUCUUUGUGCAGUGUUUUUUGUUUCAGGUUGAAGGAUAAAUUUCGAUGUAGUGCAGAUUCAAUCAAUGUCGACUUUGGUCUCAUCAAUGCUAUAGAUCUUGAGGCAUGAAUAUUUCGGACACUCCAAUAUAGUCAAAUUUAAAUUUGAAGUCAUAUGCAAUUUUUCGUUUUAUGCUAUUAAUUAACAUGAAUACUGUGAAUUUGUUCGCAGAUUUAUCCUUUUUGUUUUUAGCGACUUUUAAUUUGUAUUGCAUCGAUGUACUCUAUCAAUUUAAAUGAAUGAAUAUCAUUUAUUUUAGGUAAAAAAAAGUCUAAAUAUUUUUCAAAAAUUUAUAGUUAAAUAUAAAUUAGAUUUAUAUUUAAAAUAAAAUAUUAUUAAAAUUUAAGAUUUAUAAAGCCAUUAGGUUUGGUUUAGUGAUGAGGGGAUUCGGCAGUAUGCAAAAGAUCCUGAGUUCAAUUCUCAGCUCCAAUUUUAAAGACAUAUUUAUAAUUUAUAUCCCUCUGUUUUUUUUAAGUGUUUUUUAAUGUCAGAUUUAACGUUCUUAUUUAACUGUCGCUUUUGUAUUUUAAGGGUACAAUUCGUCAAUUAUACCCUUUGUCAAUUACUCUUAUAUUUUUAAUAAAAUUAAUUAAUCCUAUAUAUUUGGAAAACUAAAGUUGUUUUUUUUAAAAAAAUUGUUUUGUACAUAACAUAUUACAUUUUUUUUUUGUUUUUACAUAAUAUAUUAAAUUUAUUAGAAGGAGAAAGUGUUUGCAAAAAAUAAGAAUUUAUUGGUGAAUUAAAAUUAUGGUAUAAUACGAAGAUAAGUUGCAAAAAUAUAUUUUCUUAAUUUAUUGUUACCAUUUUUUUUCCAGUUGAUAGAUGAAAUGACAAAGACAUUGAUAACUCACACACACAAAGUGAAGUGACCUGUGUUCGAACUCCGAUCCUGAAAUCCGACACUAACAAUUUCGACAUUUUUACCAGUUGAGGUAGAAUUUGUGGACUUAGUGUUACUAUUACAGAACUCUUAAAAAACAUGGAGGGAGUAUUUAUUAUUUAAAAAACAAGAUUUAUUUUAAUGUAGCUCUAAAGCUAUAUAAAAUUAUGAAUCAUAUACGAGAAUAAACACUUCAGACCAAAUGUUAGUUGGUUCAGUGGUGAUUGACGCUGAACUUGGUAGGAAGAAUCACGGUUCUUUCCCCGCAAUUAUAUUUGGGAGGGAACUGAAAUCACUUAAUAUCAGAAUUCGUCCGAACUUUAAACUACUAGGGACCAUUCCUUUAGGAACCAGAGGGUGAAAAAAAAAAAAACACUUCAGAGUAUUAUUGGUAUAAUAUAACAAUUCUUCAUAGUACUGCACUGCUCAACUUUCCCCUUUCGCACAGUGUUUUUGUUAACGCGUUUCCUUCAUAUUUCGUCAUUGUGUUCUUUCACCAUACCCACUCUUCUCUUCAUCACUAAACUAUAGAAGUAUUAAUUCACAAUGUCAACAAUCAUCAGAGACCGUAACGGCAAUCCCAACCCCAACCCCAACCCCACACCACCACCACCACAAUCCAUCACCAUCACAAUCCUCGACCACUCUCUCCCAUCCUCCACUCACAACCUCUACGACAUCACCUUCGACUCCAUCUUCACGAUCCAAACCCUCCUAACCUCCACCCCUUCCAUAGUCGACGCCUGGUUCCUCGAAACCCACCGUCUCCAUCCCUUCCCUCUCCUCGUCGGUCUCGACAUCGAAUGGCGUCCUAACUUCCAACGCGGCCAAUCAAACAAAACCGCCGUCCUCCAACUCUGUAUCAACAACCGCUGCCUCGUUUUCCAAAUCAUCCAUUCCCCUUUCGUUCCUACUUCCCUAUUAACGUUCCUUGCUAACCCUAAUAACAGAUUCGUUGGAGUUGGAAUUAAAGAAGAUAUUGAGAAGCUUCUAGAAGAUUAUAAUAUUAGUGUUGCGAAUUUUGUUGAUUUGAGGAACCUUGCUGCUGAUGUGUUGAAUGAUC
rnacentral:lncRNA from 1 species